rnacentral:rRNA from 1 species
GAUGAACGCUGGCGGCGUGCCUAAUACAUGCAAGUCGAGCGAACGGACGAGAAGCUUGCUUCUCUGAUGUUAGCGGCGGACGGGUGAGUAACACGUGGAUAACCUACCUAUAAGACUGGGAUAACUUCGGGAAACCGGAGCUAAUACCGGAUGAUAUUUUGAACCGCAUGGUUCAAAAGUGAAAGACGGUCUUGCUGUCACUUAUAGAUGGAUCCGCGCUGCAUUAGCUAGUUGGUAAGGUAACGGCUUACCAAGGCAACGAUGCAUAGCCGACCUGAGAGGGGGAGAGGCCAAAAUGGAAAGGUCAAACGGCAUAGACGACGGAGGGAGGGAGCAGUGGGGAAUUUGGUGAAAGGGGCGAAGGAGGGAAGGACAAAGGAAGAGGGAGGGAAGAAGGUCGUAGGAUAGUAAAAAUAUGUGAGGAGGGAAGAAAAAAGGAGUAAGUAAUUAUGCACGGCGGGAAGGGGCAGAAGAAGAAAGACAAGCCGAAAGACGGG